AUUGAACGCUGGCGGCAGGACUAACACAUGCAAGUCGAGCGAGCGGCGGACGGUUGAGUAAUGUAUGGGGACUGCCCGAUAUAGGGGGAUAACUACUGGAAACGGUAGCUACUACCGCAUACUAUCGGAUAACCCAUAUGGGAUUAGCUAGUAGGUGUGGUAAUGGCUCACCUAGGCGACGAUCCCUAGCUGGUCUGAGAGGAUGAUCAGCCACACUGGGACUGAGACACGGACCAGACUCCUACGGAGGCAGCAGUGGGGAAUAUUGCACAAUGGGCGCAAGCCUGAUACAGCCAUGCCGCGUGUAUGAAGAAGGACAUAGGGUUGUAAAGUACUUUCAGUCGGGAGGCGUUACCGACAGAAGAAGCACCGGCUAACUACGUGCCAGCAGCCGCGGUAAUUC
rnacentral:rRNA from 1 species